rnacentral:tRNA from 1 species
AUCUGUGUGGCAUAGUUGGUAGAGCAUGGCACUUGCGAUGUCAGGAUCAUGGGUUCGAUUCCCAUUGUGGCCA